rnacentral:rRNA from 1 species
AUUGAACGCUGGCGGCAUGCCUUACACAUGCAAGUCGAACGGUAACGGGCCUUCGGGUGCCGACGAGUGGCGAACGGGUGAGUAAUACACCGGAACGUGCCCGAUCGUGGGGGAUAACGAGGCGAAAGCUUUGCUAAUAUCGCAUACGAUCUACGGAUGAAAGCAGGGGACAGCAAGGCCUUGCGCGGACGGAGCGGCCGAUGGCAGAUUAGGUAGUUGGUGGGAUAAAAGCUUACCAAGCCGACGAUCUGUAGCUGGUCUGAGAGGAUGAUCAGCCACACUGGGACUGAGACACGGCCCAGACUCCUACGGGAGGCAGCAGUGGGGAAUUUUGGACAAUGGGCGCAAGCCUGAUCCAGCCAUGCCGCGUGCAGGAUGAAGGCCUUCGGGUUGUAAACUGCUUUUGUACGGAACGAAAAGCCUUCUUUUAAUACAGGGGGGUCAUGACGGUACCGUAAGAAUAAGCACCGGCUAACUACGUG